GAUGAACGCUGGCGGCGUGCCUAAUACAUGCAAGUCGAGCGAACAGACGAGGAGCUUGCUCCUCUGACGUUAGCGGCGGACGGGUGAGUAACACGUGGAUAACCUACCUAUAAGACUGGGAUAACUUCGGGAAACCGGAGCUAAUACCGGAUAAUAUAUUGAACCGCAUGGUUCAAUAGUGAAAGACGGUUUUGCUGUCACUUAUAGAUGGAUCCGCGCCGCAUUAGCUAGUUGGUAAGGUAACGGCUUACCAAGGCGACGAUGCGUAGCCGACCUGAGAGGGGGAUCGGCCCAACGGGAACUGAGAAACGGCCCAACCCCCCAGGGGGGGCAGCAGGGGGGAAUCUCCCGAAAGGGGCGAAAGCCUGAGGGGGCAACGCCGGGGGAGUGAAGAAGGUUUUCGGAUCGAAAAACUCUUUUAUUGGGAAAAAAAAAAUGUUUAAGUAACUAUGCACGUUUGGACGGUACCUAAACAAAAAGCCACGGAUAACUACGU
rnacentral:rRNA from 1 species